rnacentral:rRNA from 1 species
CAGUCGCCGCGGGAAUACAGAGGGUGCAAGCGUUAAUCAGAAUUACUGGGCGUAAAGCGCGCGUAGGUGGUUUGUUAAGUUGGAUGUGAAAGCCCCGGGCUCAACCUGGGAACUGCAUCCAAAACUGGCAAGCUAGAGUACGGUAGAGGGUGGUGGAAUUUCCUGUGUAGCGGUGAAAUGCGUAGAUAUAGGAAGGAACACCAGUGGCGAAGGCGACCACCUGGACUGAUACUGACACUGAGGUGCGAAAGCGUGGGGAGCAAACAGGAUUAGAUACCCCUGUAGUCCCUGUCUCUUAUAC